UACGUAGGGUGCAAGCGUUAAUCGGAAUUACUGGGCGUAAAGCGUGCGCAGGCGGUUUUGUAAGACAGGUGUGAAAUCCCUCGGCUUAACCGGGGAACUGCGUCUGAUACUGGAUGGCUUGAGUUCGGGAGAGGGAUGCGGAAUUCCAGGUGUAGCGGUGAAAUGCGUAGAUAUCUGGAGGAACACCGGUGGCGAAGGCGGCAUCCUGGACCGACACUGACACUGAGGAGCGAAAGCCAGGGGAGCAAACGGG
rnacentral:rRNA from 1 species